CCUACGGGGGGCAGCAGUAAGGAAUAUUGGACAAUGGACGAAAGUCUGAUCCAGCCAUGCCGCGUGCAGGAUGAAAGCCCUAUGGGUUGUAAACUGCUUUUAUACAGGAAGAAACACUCGUACGUGUACGAGCUUGACGGUACUGUAAGAAUAAGGACCGGCUAACUCCGUGCCAGCAGCCGCGGUAAUACGGAGGGUCCGAGCGUUAUCCGGAAUCAUUGGGUUUAAAGGGUCCGCAGGCGGUCUUUUAAGUCAGAGGUGAAAGCCUACAGCUCAACUGUAGAACGGCCUUUGAUACUGAAAGACUUGAGUUAUUAUGAAGUGGUUAGAAUGUGUGGUGUAGCGGUGAAAUGCAUAGAUAUCACACAGAAUACCGAUUGCGAAGGCAGAUCACUAAUAAUAUACUGACGCUCAUGGACGAAAGCGUGGGGAGCGAACAGGAUUAGAUACCCCGGUAGUC
rnacentral:rRNA from 1 species